UUUUACUUCUUAGUCCUCCAUUUCCUAACUUGGUAUUAGGCCAUACCUAAAAUCAAGAUUCCACACCAAGAUUUCCUUUCUACAAACCCACCCUUCUUCUUCCAUGGCUAGACCAUGAACAAGAAGCUCAACCACAAGUGUUGUUCCACACAACUUUGACUUCCCCAUGACCCUUCUCCACCCAUCAUCAAACAUGGUCCUCCAUCUCAGUCCAGAAGAAUUGUCGCACCUGAGAGAACAUCACUACAAUGACCUGACGACCAUGGUGGCGCAUCAACCUCAAAUCGAUUCCAAGCUUUUACCUCAUCUGAUCGACCUUCCCAGGAAAACAAUAACCCAUAUUUCUUAGGCACUAGAUACCACCCUGGGCUCAUUCUUGCUUCCCAUCUGCUCAUUGAUAAGAAUUUUCAACAAUGAAGGCGUGACUUCAAAAUUUCAAUUAGGGCAAAAGAAUAAAGAAGCAUUUGUCAAUGGUACUCUUCCUCAACCAACCCCAACUGACCCUUUUUUUCCAUUCAUGGAAUCGCUGCAAUCAGAUGGUGAUGUCUUGGCUCUUGCAUUCGCUUUCCCCUUAAAUCAAGAGCAACAUAAUGUUCCUCGACACUAAUGCGGCCAUGUAGUAUGAACUCAAUAGCUGAUUUGAUCAAGGCAAUGGACCUAGGAUUUUUGAGCUUCGGGAAACCCUAAUCUCUCUACAUCAAGGAGUCGAUAUUGUUACUUGUUAUUUUGCAAAGCUCAAGUCCAUAUAGGAUGAGAUCAAUGAACUCUAACCCUGAACUCCUUGCACAUGUGUUGCUGCCCUUUGCGAUAAUGAUUUCCAAAAUCAAGAACAGGUUUUUCAAUUCCUCACUGGUCUAAAUAAAUCAUUUCAUUCUGUUAGAGCUCAAGUUUUAUUGAUUUAUACCAUUCCAUCCUUGUCCAAAGCUUACUCAAUGAUUGUCCAGGAAGAACUGCAAUGAAAACAUGGCUCGUCUUCAAGCUCUACUUUUGAAGCUGUCACCAAUUUUCCUAAUUCUAGGACCAAGAAAAUGAGACCAGCAUGUUAUCACUGUCAGAAACCAAGACACUUGAAAGAAAAAUGUUUCUUUCUUCACAGGUUUCCCCCAGGCUAUGGCAAUCGCAAGUUCUCCAAUGACUCCUCCACAAGCCAAGAAACCCAAAAACUACAUGAUCCUCCUGCUCGAUCGCAGCCAAGAUCUUUGCAAGCUUUCGAAUCCACCUCUGAAUCUGCUCCCAAUCAAACGGCUCUCACCCAGCAGCUAAUCUCUCUGCUCAAACAACAACUCACUCAAGGGGCACCAAGCGCAGACACUCCCAUUCCUGCUGCUUCAAAUGUUCAACCACCUGCAUCAAAUUUUUCUGCAGCAAACUUUGAGGAUUGGGUCUGCUAAGUGCAUUUCCCACUAAUACUAUCUUCACCAAGACUUUUUUUUCAGUCAGAUUAUCCAAGAUUUGUAUAUUGUAAUGCUUUGUAUGAUACCAACCGUGACAUUCAUGGUUAGGGCAUCCUUCUAUGUCAAUUAAUAGAGAAAUCAAUAAAAAGAUACAAUUUUCAUGUUC